AAGGCCUUAGUUUAAUUAAAACAUUUGAUUUGCACUCAUAAAAUGCAAGAUAGUGUCUUGUAGGUCUUA
rnacentral:tRNA from 1 species